rnacentral:rRNA from 1 species
UACGAAGGGGGCUAGCGUUGUUCGGAAUUACUGGGCGUAAAGCGCACGUAGGCGGAUACUUAAGUCAGGGGGUGAAAUCCCGGGGGCUCAACCCCCGGAACUGCCUUUGAUACUGGGUAUCUCGAGUCCGGAAGAGGUGAGUGGAAUUCCGAGUGUAGAGGUGAAAUUCGUAGAUAUUCGCAAGAACACCAGUGGCGAAGGCGGCCAACUGGACCAACACUGACGCUGAGGCGCGAAAGCGUGGGGAGCAAACAGGG